UACGAAGGGGGCUAGCGUUGCUCGGAAUCACUGGGCGUAAAGCGCACGUAGGCGGUUUCUUAAGUCAGGGGUGAAAUCCUGGAGCUCAACUCCAGAACUGCCUUUGAUACUGGGAGACUUGGAGUCCGGGAGAGGUGAGUGGAACUGCGAGUGUAGAGGUGAAGUUCGUAGAUAUUCGCAAGAACACCAGUGGCGAAGGCGGCUCACUGGCCCGGUACUGACGCUGAGGUGCGAAAGCGUGGGGAGCAAACAGG
rnacentral:rRNA from 1 species